rnacentral:rRNA from 1 species
UACGUAGGGGGCUAGCGUUGUCCGGAAUCAUUGGGCGUAAAGCGCGUGUAGGCGGUCCGGUAAGUCCGCUGUGAAAGUCGGGGGCUCAACCCUCGGAUGCCGAUCGAUACUGUCGGGCUAGAGUCCGGAAGAGGCGAGUGGAAUUCCUGGUGUAGCGGUGAAAUGCGCAGAUAUCAGGAGGAACACCAAUGGCGAAGGCAGCUCGCUGGGACGGUACUGACGCUGAGGCGCGAAAGCGUGGGGAGCAAACAGG